ACAUUGCUGAAGGGUCUCACAAUAGGACGAAACGGACGUCCAGUGC
rnacentral:hammerhead_ribozyme from 1 species